rnacentral:misc_RNA from 1 species
GGAAUAAAAGUCGUAACAAGGUUUCCGUAGGUGAACCUGCGGAAGGAUCAUUAAAGUUAUAGUCCCCCGGCCCUCUGGGCUGGGGUCUUCUAUACCACCCUUUGUUUAUUACACCUUUGUUGCUUUGGCAGGCCUGCCCUCGGGCUGCUGGCUCCGGCCGGCUCGCGUCUGCCAGAGGACCUAAACUCUGUUUGUAUAUGAAGUCUGAGUACUAUAUAAUAGUUAAAACUUUCAACAACGGAUCUCUUGGUUCUG